rnacentral:lncRNA from 1 species
CGACAUUUUAUGUUUUACUUGACACUUAUCAUGAUCACGUGAAUUAGUAAUUUUUUUUUUUUUUGAUUUUUUGGAGUUAGUAAAUUUUAAAACCAAGUUUUGACAUAUAAUCUCGUUUUAUUGUUAAACUUAAACCAUAAUUUUAAUUUACAGAAAUAAACCAUAAUUCUCAUUUAUCAUUUAUAUACCCAAACCAACAAAUAACC